rnacentral:rRNA from 1 species
GCCCGCUCAGAAACUCAAAGGAAGUUGACGGGGCCCGCACAAGCGGUGGAGUAUGUGGUUUAAUUCGAUGCAACGCGAAGAACCUUACCUGGUCUUGACAUCCCGGAGACCCUUAGGAAACUAGGGGGUGCUUCCAUCUGGAAGAAUCUGGAGACAGGUGCUGCAUGGCUGUCGUCAGCUCGUGUCGUGAGAUGUUGGGUUAAGUCCCGCAACGAGCGCAACCCUUGCCUUUAGUUGCCAGCAGUUCGGCUGGGCACUCUAAAGGGACUGCCGGUGUUAAACCGGAGGAAGGUGGGGAUGACGUCAAGUCCUCAUGGCCUUUAUGACCAGGGCUACACACGUACUACAAUGGCCGAUACAAAGGGCAGCGACACUGCGAGGUGAAGCCAAUCCCGUAAAAUCGGUCUCAGUCCGGAUUGGAGUCUGCAACUCGACUCCAUGAAGUUGGAAUCGCUAGUAAUCGUGGAUCAGCAUGCCACGGUGAAUACGUUCCCGGGCCUU